CGCGUCAGUCACUAUCGUGCUUCCUGGUUGCUGAUGAGGGAGCCGCGAGAACCGUUGCCGUCGCGGAAGAGGGGGACACGCGUGAGGGAGCCGUAACGGUGGUCGCCAUUGUCGCUGUUGAGUACAUGUUCAUGCUUUUUCAGAACCGAUGGAAGGAGAGAACCGCAAGUACCGUCAAGUUCCCGAAGAACAAGGUUACUCGCAAGAAUUUUCUUCUGCUGCAGCAGAUUCCAUUCAUUCAGUCUUAUGCGGAGAUGUCAACCAAGUUAUCCACAUUUUUUGUCAGUGUUUUCGUUGGGUUAUGCAAGUUAUUUGUCUCGUUUUGUUGUUAUUGGAUUUAAUACUUUGUAUGGUUUAUUGUGGAUCUUCCAAAAAAUACUUUGU